rnacentral:rRNA from 1 species
AGCAGCCGCGGUAAUUCCAGCUCCAAUAGCGUAUAUUAAAGUUGUUGCAGUUAAAAAGCUCGUAGUUGAAUUUCGGGAUUGGCGCAUCGGUCGUGCCUCACGGGGUAUGAACUGGUGCAGUCAAUUUCUCACCUUCUGGAGAACCGCGAUGUCCUUAAUUGGAUGCCGCGGGGAACCAGGACCUUUACUUUGAAAAAAUUAGAGUGUUUAAAGCAGGCAUUUUUGCUUGAAUACAUUAGCAUGGAAUAAUAAAAUAGGACGGCAUGGUUCUAUUUUGUUGGUUUCUAGGACCACCGUAAUGAUUAAUAGGGAUAGUUGGGGGCAUUAGUAUUCAAUUGUCAGAGGUGAAAUUCUUGGAUUUAUUGAAGACUAACUACUGCGAAAGCAUUUGCCAAGGAUGUUUUCAUUAAUCAAGAACGAAAGUUAGGGGAUCGAAGACGAUCAGAUACCGUCGUAGUCUUAACCAUAAACUAUGCCGACUAGGAAUCAGACGAUGUUAAUUUUUUAAUGAUUCGUUUGG